AAGUGGGAUGACGUCAAGUCCUCAUGGCCCUUAUAGUGGGGCUACACACGUCAUACAAUGGCCGGUACAAAGGGCUGCCAACCCGCGAGGGGGAGCCAAUCCCAUAAAACCGGUCGUAGUCCGGAUCGCAGUCUGCAACUCGACUGCGUGAAGUCGGAAUCGCUAGUAAUCGUGGAUCAGAAUGUCACGGUGAAUACGUUCCCGGGUCUUG
rnacentral:rRNA from 1 species